rnacentral:rRNA from 1 species
UACGUAGGGGGCAAGCGUUGUCCGGAUUUAUUGGGCGUAAAGAGCGUGUAGGCGUUCAGGUAGGUCCGUUGUGAAAACUCGAGGCUCAACCUCGAGACGCCGAUGGAAACCAUCUGACUAGAGUCCGGAAGAGGAGAGUGGAAUUCCUGGUGUAGCGGUGAAAUGCGCAGAUAUCAGGAAGAACACCCGUGGCUAAGGCGGCUCUCUAGUACGGUACUGACGCUGAGACGCGAAAGCGUGGGGAGCGAACAGG